rnacentral:lncRNA from 1 species
GUUAGACUCUGCUGCGAGUUGAGUUCUAAAGAAAGAGGACUGGACCCGUCUGGUAGUGAUUGUUUGGGUACUUAAGGUUUCCUAUACCCGAGCCAGUGGAGUCCGCCUCGGUCCCCAGGAGGGCUUCAAGAAGGUGCGGACCAAGGCGCCGAAGUAGGAUGGAAAGAAUCGCGCACGAGUUCUGGGAGAUCCAGACCACGGUGCGCCUGCCGCUGCCCAAGUACACCACGGCCGCGUGGGCUCGCCAAUGGCUGCCCAUACAACAAAGGUUCUCUUCAGAGCCAACCACGCUUCCACGGAAAGUAGCGGAUACAUGUUUAUUGUUUAGUUACCUUCAGUGAAGCUGGAAAGAAUCCGCAGGGCCGGUAGAUCGCAAAAAGCGCUGCCAACGUUAGGCACUUUAAGGCAGUGUCAGGUUAGUUUGUGUUCCCAAUCGCGUUCGGAAAUGCAUUGUAGUUUUCUUUUCUGCUACAAUAGCCAAAAUUCGCUUUUGGCAACGUAAUUAAUUCACUGAACUCCCGGAAGUAGCAGUACUUGAAAAACCCCGCCAGGGGUUGCAAGUUGUCACGGGGUCGUGCUUUUCAAAGAAGUUAUUUCGGGGGUCUGGGAUUGUGGCUCAGAGGUAGAGUGCUCGCCUAGCAAGCACGAGGCAGUGGGUUUGAUCCUCAGGACCACGUAAAUGUAGAAUAAAGAUUUUCUGUGUCCACCUAAAACUUAAGAAUAAUUUUUUUUAAGGAGUUAUUUGGAAGGUACAAUUAAGAAUUGUUAUUGGCGCCCGUUUCGCAUAAGCUCUGCAGUGCUGCACAUAGGCGAGCUGAAAUGAUUUGCAUCCAAGCGCAACAGGCCAGGGAAGCUCCUUCAGGUUAAAAUGUUGAGCAAGGAACCCAGCAACGUGGAGAAGCCACUUUCUUAAAAUCUUUAAUCAGGAGAUAAGCAUUUGCUGGUUCAGAGAGGUAGCUAUCAGGCUGGGAUUUGAGAGUCCAUGAUUUGAUUAUCAGCAAAAGAGGUUGGAGAACCUAGUGCCUUAAAGAACAGAUAUCCAGCAAAGCCACAGAGGUAGGCAGAGAGACAGACGCCAUGGCUCGCUAGGAGUAUUCUGGAGACUUUCAAUGCUUGAUGUAAAAUUCCUCAAUCUCUCCCUCCCCAGUAUCCCAAUGGUGCUUAAAUUCUCCUUCCUGGCAUUUCAUAGUAUUAAUACCUCUGCCACCUGUUAUCCUCUGUGCCAUAGAACACUUGUAUUGUAAAUCCAUGUUCUACCCUCCCAGGAUCUCACCAGGGACUCCAAAACCACCAUUUAAGGCCUUUCUGUUGCUCUGUCUUCCUUUUCCUUGAAGCUAUGGGUUGCGUUCUCUGUCUUGUCACAGGCAACAAAGAGCCCCAAAGUCAUACUAAUAGGCCAGCGGAUCUUGAAAAAUGCACGGAUUUAUGGUUUACUUUUCUAAAACAGGGUUUCCUCCCUCAGUUCUGCGCCGUCAUUCAGGCUGGACGCACUGGGACUGGGGACAGUCCUCAGAAGAGCUGCCUUCCUGGUGUUCCUGAAUUUGUAGGCCUCACAAUUGUCACCUCCCUUCAUUCUUUGCUUUCCGGGAAGACUGUUCCCUGUCUUUGAGGGAUGAACCUCCGGAGCCGGCGGGAGAAGACUUAUUGCCCUCGUGUGGUAGAAGACGAACCCACGCCCAAGGCGCUGUUCUAAGGGGACUGAGACCAUCUCUCUGUGCCGCAGUCUACACGUUAGAGGAAGGUUUCCACUGAUGGUCUUAACUGAAGGAUUGAAGUUUAAGCGUGGG